rnacentral:rRNA from 1 species
UCGGGAAUUUUGGGCAAUGGGCGAAAGCCUGACCCAGCAACGCCGCGUGAAGGAUGAAGUAUUUCGGUAUGUAAACUUCGAAAGAAUAGGAAGAAUAAAUGACGGUACUAUUUAUAAGGUCCGGCUAACUACGUGCCAGCAGCCGCGGUAAUACGUAGGGACCAAGCGUUGUUCGGAUUUACUGGGCGUAAAGGGCGCGUAGGCGGCCCUCUAAGUCAGACGUGAAAUCCCCCGGNUUAACCUGGGAACUGCGUCUGAUACUGGAGGGCUUGAGUAUGGGAGAGGGAUGUAGAAUUCCAGGUGUAGCGGUGAAAUGCGUAGAUAUCUGGAGGAAUACCGGUGGCGAAGGCGGCAUCCUGGACCAUUACUGACGCUGAGGCGCGAAAGCUAGGGGAGCAAACGGGAUUAGAUACCCAUGUAGUCCCUGAGCGGGCUGGCAAGGCGCAU